CCUACGGGGGGCUGCAGUGGGGAAUCUUGCGCAAUGGACGAAAGUCUGACGCAGCGACGCCGCGUGAGUGAUGAAGGCCUUCGGGUUGUAAAGCUCUGUGGGGAGAGACGAAUAAGGUGCAGUUAAUAUCUGCAUCGAUGACGGUACCUCCUUAGCAAGCACCGGCUAACUCUGUGCCAGCAGCCGCGGUAAGACAGAGGGUGCAAACGUUGGUCGGAAUCACGGGGCGUAAGGCAGAUGUGGCGGGUCUGAAAGCCCCGGGCUCAACCUGGGAAGUGCAUUCGAUACUGUUUGACUUGAGUACUGGAGAGGUUGGUGGAAUUCUCGGUGUAGAGGUGAAAUUCGUAGAUAUCGGGAAGAACAUCUGUGGCGAAGGCGGCCAACUGGACAGAUACUGACGCUGAGACACGAAAGCGUGGGGAGCAAACAGGAUUAGAUACCCCAGUAGUC
rnacentral:rRNA from 1 species